rnacentral:rRNA from 1 species
UGGGGAAUAUUGGACAAUGGGCGCAAGCCUGAUCCAGCCAUGCCGCGUGGAUGAUGAAGGCCCUAGGGUUGUAAAGUCCUUUCGACGGGGAAGAUAAUGACGGUACCCGUAGAAGAAGCCCCGGCUAACUUCGUGCCAGCAGCCGCGGUAAUACGAAGGGAGCUAGCGUUGUUCGGAAUCACUGGGCGUAAAGCGCACGUAGGUGGGCAGUUAAGUCAGGGGUGAAAGCCCGAGGCUCAACCUCGGAAUUGCCUCUGAUACUGGCUGUCUAGAGUUCGAGAGAGGUGAGUGGAAUUCCUAGUGUAGAGGUGAAAUUCGUAGAUAUUAGGAAGAACACCGGUGGCGAAGGCGGCUCACUGGCUCGAUACUGACACUGAGGUGCGAAAGCGUGGGGAGCAAACAGGAUUAGAUACCCCUGUAGUCCCUGAGCGGGCUGGCAAGGCGCAU